GGUUGUGGUUCAGAGGUAGAGUGCUCGCCUCGCAUGCGUGAGGCACUGGGUUUGAUCCUCAGCACCA
rnacentral:tRNA from 1 species